UAUAGGAGAGCGAUUUACCUCUUCCUGUCUGAGAGGAUCUCAUACAUACUACGUUUUAAAGCCUUCUAAAAUAUUUCGCAAAUCUUCCAACCACUGUAGCCAAUGCUACCGGGAGACAUGCUGAAAGGAAUCUCAAACUGGGAGAAGGAAGACAAUGAAGCCUGGGGUCAGCCAGAGGAAGAACUUAUCUCCAGAAAAGAGAUCUUACACAGUCCAAACAACUUGUCAAAACACCUUGCAGGAGACACUUAAGCCAAGAGAAUGAUGGAUCAGUGAUGGGUGUGGCCAUACCUUGACCAGAACUACUUAUUUAUAUAUACUUCUUGUCUUCUAUUUAAACUUAAAUUUCAUGUUAGACCCUGAAGACUUUGGGGGUAUCCACUGGACCCCUUCCCUUGUUCUUCUCCCUGAUGUGGUUACACUGAAUAAAACCUCGAAGGGCA